UAAUUUUAAGUUCACAUAAAUAAAUUGUGUUUUCUUAACUAUUUGUAUCAAGAUACUACGAAAAACAAAAAUUCAAACAAACAAAAAAUGGCAAAGAUUGCGUUCGUGUUGAUUUUCACAUUGAUGUUGCUUAUGUCGAUCCAGGCGGUGUUGGGUGACGACGAUUUCCUGGAAACUGCAAAGGAUCACAUAAACACCGCUGCCACGGCCGCCAAAGAUGCGGCUGAUAGCGUGUCCAAAUCGGAUGCCUUUAAGGAAGCGAAGGAGACGGCAUCAACAUGGGGUGAUUGGUUUACGGACAAAUUCCAUGAUAUGGGUUUCAGCUCGGACGACGAUGAUGACGACCAUGACAGCAGCUCAAAGGCACCGAAAUCAGAAUAAUAUGGUUGUUUUAACUGCCCAGUAAUCUUCAAAUUUUUAAUGUUGUAAUUACUUUUUGGUUUGUUGGACUUGGACAAAGAUUUACCUAGUUGAAUCUUUACCUCAUGAGAGGAGUUGAGGCUAGAGAUGUUAGAUUCCCAUAUAUUAUUUGUAAAUUGUAAAAUAAGAGAUUCAACAAUGUUGUAACUAAAGCAUAUUUAUGCAAUUUUUGCAUCCAACUUGUUUUUUAAUAUAAGCGAUAUUUAAGAUUUCA